GAUGAACGCUGGCGGCGUGCCUAAUACAUGCAAGUCGAGCGAACAGACGAGGAGCUUGCUCCUCUGACGUUAGCGGCGGACGGGUGAGUAACACGUGGAUAACCUACCUAUAAGACUGGGAUAACUUCGGGAAACCGGAGCUAAUACCGGAUAAUAUAUUGAACCGCAUGGUUCAAUAGUGAAAGACGGUUUUGCUGUCACUUAUAGAUGGAUCCGCGCCGCAUUAGCUAGUUGGUAAGGUAACGGCUUACCAAGGCAACGAUGCGUAGCCGACCUGAGAGGGGGAUCGGCCACACUGGAACUGAGACACGGUCCAGACUCCUACGGGAGGCAGCAGUAGGGAAUCUUACGCAAUGGGCGAAAGCCUGACGGAGCAACGCCGCGUGAGUGAUGAAGGUCUUCGGAUCGUAAAGCUCUGUUAUUAGGGAAGAACAAAUGUGUAAGUAACUAUGCACGUCUUGACGGUACCUAAUCAGAAAGCCACGGCUAACUACGUG
rnacentral:rRNA from 1 species